GUGAAUCAUCAAAUUUUUGAACGCAAAUUGCACUCUCUUCGGAGAGUAUGCCUGUUUGAGGGUCAGCCUAAAAAAAAAACCGACAUAGUCGCUGUUUCGCGGUGACAUUCGUCUGAAAUUGGGUCAUCUUAAACUUUUGGUUUUUAUUCGUCUUAAAAUUUUCUUUUCGAUUCCACGACCGUUUUUAAUAUUUAUUUUUUAUACUUUUA
rnacentral:misc_RNA from 1 species